GAAUGUUUACCUUUGGAAUCUGUAUGAAUUUGUAAUUAUUUUCGAAAUUAGCGUUACAGGCAGUGUUUCACAGUCUAAAACUUCUGAAAUUUAUUCGAAGAAAGUUUUCAUAAUGGUAAGAUACGGAUAAUUUCAUGAAUUAAAUCCGAAGGAUUCUGUAAAUGGAACACAUUCCCUUCCCAAUCGAGAUUCGAAAUGAUGGGUUUUCUCUUUGAGGUUUGGAAAUUGAUCGGAAAAAUCCUAGAUUCGGGCAUAUUAUGCCCGAAUCACUUCAACUGGAUAUAAUUUGUGAUAAGAUUAGUAAACGUUAGCCCAUUGCCCUUCCAACUCUUUACAUUUGAGAGCAAAGAGACUAAGACUUCAAGCACUUCUCUGAUUAAAAGUAUGAGUACUUUAUCAGAGGACACUUUUCCGAAGAGGAAACCUAGGGCAAAAUUAGUUACCAAUUAUUUUGUUGUUAUGAUACCUACAUACAAUAUACAUGAGUAAAACCUCCAGACCCUCCCCAACCUUUUGAAAAGAAGCUUCAGAAGAAAUUGUUCAAUCAGAGAAAAUAUUUACAGAGAAAACAUUGAACCUAAAGUUUCUGCAAUCAAACGAAGUAGAAAAACCUAUGUUUGGGACAUGGCUGAAGAAGAAUUCAGUUCGGAUAAAACAAGGCCAAACUUCAUAUUCAUGAGGAGAACUAUUUUUCGCUUCGGAGUAAUGUUCAUUCUGUAGUCGAAGCUAUGGAACUUGAAUAAUCUGCUAUAUUUCAGAGUAAAUCCUUUCAUCACAGUCAUCUAUAAGUGCUUCUAAGGCUCCUCUUUCUGGUAAAGGAAUAAAUGUUUGAGAGGAAGUUGAAAGACCUAUCAACACAGAUAUACAGUCCUGCAUUGAGAUCAUUUACUUUGACAUUCUAAUCCCCAAGAGCUAAUUAUUUUGCACGCAUUCCAUUCAACAAAAAUGUUUGAAAUAUAAAUUGAUUGUGAGUGUUUUGGCCAGGGAGUUAAAGAAUAUUUGUGUAUGCUAUUUCUUUUCUUUAUCUUUCAAAUUUUGGUAAUUAUUAACUGACAAUGAGACAUUGGUGUUUUUUUUUUAUCAUAUAACAUCAUUUUUGUUCUUAAUAAAGAUUUUUAUAUAUAAGUGUUUAUUAAUAAGAAAAUAUCAUGCCUAUUUAGGCAAGUACAUAUGUACAAAGAAAUGGACUGGUAAGAGCGAAACCGGUCUGUCACUACUCAACCUUGAUGAUGGCUCGUUUCCAAUGGUCAUUCAUAUGAUGGUCUUUACCAGUCCAUUUCUUUGUUCAUAAGUGUUUAUUUAUACAUAAGUUGAAUACAAAUUCUUGGGCUGAGUUUUUGAAAAUUGUGUUACUCAAAAUUGUCCAC